AUGGCGCCGUCGUCGCCGGCGGCGGCGGCGGUGGCGGCCGAGGGAGGCGAGCAGCAGAUCGUGGCGGCGGCGGCGGCGAAGAAGAAGAAGGGCGGCGGGAAGAGGGGCCGGCGCGAGAUGCGGCGGAUCGAGGACGCCACCAGCCGGCAGGUCACCUUCUCCAAGCGCCGCAGCGGGCUGCUCAAGAAGGCCUUCGAGCUGGGCGUCCUCUGCGACGCCGAGGUCGCCCUCAUCGUCUUCUCCCCCCGCGGCCGCCUCUACGAGUACGCCUCCGCGCCAGAUUUGCAGAAAACGAUUGAUCGCUACCUGAAUCACACAAAAGGGACAUCUGCCAAUGAGAAAACUGUUGAGCAACCAGCUGCUGGCGUCCAGAUGUGUAGAUCUGAAGCUACCGCCUUGAAGCACAAGAUAGACGCAAUUGAGGCCUACCAGAGGAAGCUAUCUGGAGAAGGAUUGGGGUCCUGUUCGGCCCAUGAGCUGCAAGAGCUGGAGCUGCAGCUGGAGAAGAGCCUAAGCUGCAUCCGGCAAAAGAAGCAACAGAAAAUGGUGGCUAAAAUCUCGGAGCUGAAGGAGAAGGAGAGAAAGCUGUUGACGGAGAACUCGGUGCUCCGUGAGGAGUACAAGGCGCUGCCUCUGCUAGAGCUGGCCACUGCUGCUGCUGCUGAAAGAUCGCCUGACGGCGCUGGAGCUGAAGAAGCCGAGGAGGACGAGCGGCGGCGGCAUUACAUGGAAGUGGAGACCGAGCUGGUCAUUGGAAGGCCCGGGUCCUCUAGCUAG
rnacentral:rRNA from 1 species